AUUGAACGCUGGCGGCAGGCCUAACACAUGCAAGUCGAGCGGAUGACGGGAGCUUGCUCCUUGAUUCAGCGGCGGACGGGUGAGUAAUGCCUAGGAAUCUGCCUGGUAGUGGGGGACAACGUCUCGAAAGGAACGCUAAUACCGCAUACGUCCUACGGGAGAAAGCAGGGGACCUUCGGGCCUUGCGCUAUCAGAUGAGCCUAGGUCGGAUUAGCUAGUUGGUGAGGUAAUGGCUCACCAAGGCGACGAUCCGUAACUGGUCUGAGAGGAUGAUCAGUCACACUGGAACUGAGACACGGUCCAGACUCCUACGGGAGGCAGCAGUGGGGAAUAUUGGACAAUGGGCGAAAGCCUGAUCCAGCCAUGCCGCGUGUGUGAAGAAGGUCUUCGGAUUGUAAAGCACUUUAAGUUGGGAGGAAGGGCAGUAAGUUAAUACCUUGCUGUUUUGACGUUACCGACAGAAUAAGCAUCGGCUAACUCUGUGCCAGCCGCCGCGGUAAAAC
rnacentral:rRNA from 1 species